rnacentral:rRNA from 1 species
UACGUGGGGGGCAAGCGUUGUCCGGAAUCACUGGGCGUAAAGGGCGCGUAGGCGGUCUGGUAAGCGUGUGGUGAAAGCUCGGGGCUCAACCCCGCGUCGGCCAUGCGAACUGCUGGACUGGAGCAUGUCAGAGGCAGGCGGAAUUCCGGGUGUAGCGGUGGAAUGCGUAGAGAUCCGGAAGAACACCGGUGGCGAAGGCGGCCUGCUGGGACAUUGCUGACGCUGAGGCGCGACAGCGUGGGGAGCAAACAGG